UCUGGCGGCUGUAGCGCGGUGGUCCCACCUGACCCCAUGCCGAACUCAGAAGUGAAACGCCGUAGCGCCGAUGGUAGUGUGGGGCCUCCCCAUGCGAGAGUAGGGAACUGCCAGAC
rnacentral:rRNA from 10 species